rnacentral:rRNA from 1 species
UACGGGGGGAGCAAGCGUUGUUCGGAUUUACUGGGCGUAAAGGGCGCGUAGGCGGUCAGCACAAGUCAGUUGUGAAAUCUCCGGGCUUAACUCGGAAAGGUCAACUGAUACUGUGCGACUAGAGUGCGGAAGGGGCAACUGGAAUUCUCGGUGUAGCGGUGAAAUGCGUAGAUAUCGAGAGGAACACCUGCGGCGAAGGCGGGUUGCUGGGCCGACACUGACGCUGAGGCGCGAAAGCCAGGGGAGCGAACGGGG